ACAGCAGGUGUGAGGAAUGAAGAAACACAAACAUGGCAUUUGGAUGGAAAGAGGAAGUACAGCUAACUGCCUGACAUCCGGAUAAAAAUACUCUAACAUCUACCACUUCAGAUCUGCUGGAGAAGGUUAUCUAUUAGGAA